GAUGAAGAACGUAGCGAAAUGCGAUAAGUAAUGUGAAUUGCAGAAUUCAGUGAAUCAUCGAGUCUUUGAACGCACAUUGCGCCCCCUGGUAUUCCGGGGGGCAUGCCUGUCCGAGCGUCAUUGCUGCCCUCAAGCACGGCUUGUGUGUUGGGCCCCCGUCCCCGGUUCUCCCCGGGGACGGGCCCGAAAGGCAGCGGCGGCACCGCGUCCGAUCCUCGGGCGUAUGGGGCUUUGUCACCCGCUCUGUAGGCCCGGCCGGCGCCAGCCGACACCCCAACUUUAUUUUCUAAGGUUGACCUCGGAUCAGGUAGGGAUACCCGCUGAACUUAAGCAUAUCAAUAAGCGGAGGA
rnacentral:misc_RNA from 1 species